rnacentral:rRNA from 1 species
UACGUAGGGUGCAAGCGUUGUCCGGAAUUAUUGGGCGUAAAGAGCUCGUAGGCGGUCUGUCGCGUCGGAUGUGAAAACCCAGGGCUCAACCCUGGGCCUGCAUUCGAUACGGGCAGACUAGAGUGUGGCAGGGGAGACUGGAAUUCCUGGUGUAGCGGUGAAAUGCGCAGAUAUCAGGAGGAACACCGGUGGCGAAGGCGGGUCUCUGGGCCAAUACUGACGCUGAGGAGCGAAAGCGUGGGGAGCGAACAGG